rnacentral:rRNA from 1 species
UACGGAGGGUGCGAGCGUUGUCCGGAAUCACUGGGCGUAAAGCGCAUGUAGGCGGCUUUGUAAGUCAGGUGUGAAAUCUCUGGGCUCAACCCAGAACGUGCAUUUGAUACUGCUAAGCUUGAGUAUGGGAGAGGGUAGUAGAAUUCCUGGUGUAGUGGUGAAAUACGUAGAUAUCAGGAGGAAUACCGGUGGCGAAGGCGGCUGCCUGGCCCAAAUACUGACGUUGGAGAAUGCGAAAGCGUGGGGAGCAAACAGG